rnacentral:rRNA from 1 species
CUGGCUCAGGAUGAACGCUAGCGACAGGCUUAACACAUGCAAGUCGAGGGCAGCAUAAAAGUAGCAAUACUUGGUGGCGACCGGCGCACGGGUGAGUAACGCGUAUGCAACCUACCUAUCAGAGGGGAAUAACCCGGCGAAAGUCGGACUAAUACCGCAUAAAACAGGGGCACCGCAUGGUGAUAUUUGUUAAAGAAAUUCGCUGAUAGAUGGGCAUGCGUUCCAUUAGGUAGUUGGUGAGGUAACGGCUCACCAAGCCGACGAUGGAUAGGGGAACUGAGAGGUUGGUCCCCCACACUGGUACUGAGACACGGACCAGACUCCUACGGGAGGCAGCAGUGAGGAAUAUUGGUCAAUGGGCGGGAGCCUGAACCAGCCAAGUCGCGUGAAGGGAAAAGAAGGAUCUAUGGUUCGUAAACUUCUUUUGCAGGGGAAUAAAGUGCAGGACGUGUCCUGUUUUGUAUGUACCCUGAGAAUAAGGAUCGGCUAACUCCGUGCCAGCAGCUGC